GCGUCGGUGGUGUAACGGUUAGCAUUGUUGCCUUCCAAGCAAUAGAUCCGGGUUCGAUUCCCGGCUGAUGCA
rnacentral:tRNA from 1 species